AAGGCUAUACUUUCUAGAAUUAUCUCUGUACUGUCAAACGAGAGCUGUACUCAAAAACAUUUGGCUAAGUGAACUGUGAGGAGCAAACCUUUUCUGAGCUGGAAGCAAGUGGGCAGCGUUGCAUUCAUGUAGCUGUUGCUUGCUUUUUUUUUUUUACCCUUACGCUUUCUUUCUCUAAGAGGGUUGGCGGAAGAGAAGAUAGGCUGAGCGGC